GACGAACGCUGGCGGCGUGCUUAACACAUGCAAGUCGAACGGAAAGGCCCUGCUUUUGUGGGGUGCUCGAGUGGCGAACGGGUGAGUAACACGUGAGUAACCUGCCCUUGACUUUGGAUAACUUCAGGAAACUGGGGCUAAUACCGGAUAGGAGCUCCUGCUGCAUGGUGGGGGUUGGAAAGUUUCGGCGGUUGGGGAUGGACUCGCGGCUUAUCAGCUUGUUGGUGGGGUAGUGGCUUACCAAGGCUUUGACGGGUAGCCGGCCUGAGAGGGUGACCGGCCACAUUGGGACUGAGAUACGGCCCAGACUCCUACGGGAGGCAACAGUGGGGAAUAUUGCACAAUGGGCGGAAGCCUGAUGCAGCAACGCCGCGUGCGGGAUGACGGCCUUCGGGUUGUAAACCGCUUUCGCCUGUGACGAAGCGUGAGUGACGGUAAUGGGUAAAGAAGCACCGGCUAACUACGUG
rnacentral:rRNA from 1 species